rnacentral:rRNA from 1 species
CGGAAAGACCCCGUGAACCUUUACUAUAGCUUGACACUGAACAUUGAGCCUUGAUGUGUAGGAUAGGUGGGAGGCUUUGAAGUGUGGACGCCAGUCUGCAUGGAGCCGACCUUGAAAUACCACCCUUUAAUGUUUGAUGUUCUAACGUGGACCCGUAAUCCGGGUUGCGGACAGUGUCUGGUGGGUAGUUUGACUGGGGCGGUCUCCUCCUAAAGAGUAACGGAGGAGCACGAAGGUUGGCUAAUCCUGGUCGGACAUCAGGAGGUUAGUGCAAUGGCAUAAGCCAGCUUGACUGCGAGCGUGACGGCGCGAGCAGGUGCGAAAGCAGGUCAUAGUGAUCCGGUGGUUCUGAAUGGAAGGGCCAUCGCUCAACGGAUAAAAGGUACUCCGGGGAUAACAGGCUGAUACCGCCCAAGAGUUCAUAUCGACGGCGGUGUUUGGCACCUCGAUGUCGGCUCAUCACAUCCUGGGGCUGAAGUAGGUCCCAAGGGUAUGGCUGUUCGCCAUUUAAAGUGGUACGCGAGCUGGGUUUAGAACGUCGUGAGACAGUUCGGUCCCUAUCUGCCGUGGGCGCUGGAGAACUGAGGGGGGCUGCUCCUAGUACGAGAGGACCGGAGUGGACGCAUCACUGGUGUUCGGGUUGUCAUGCCAAUGGCACUGCCCGGUAGCUAAAUGCGGAAGAGAUAAGUGCUGAAAGCAUCUAAGCACGAAACUUGCCCCGAGAUGAGUUCUCCCUGAGACUUAGAGUCUCCUGAAGGAACGUUGAAGACGACGACGUUGAUAGGCCGGGUGUGUAAGCGCAGCGAUGCGUUGAGCUAACCGGUACUAAUGAACCGUGAGGCUUAACCUUACAA